UUAAGCGACUAAGCGUACACGGUGGAUGCCCUGGCAGUCAGAGGCGAUGAAGGACGUGCUAAUCUGCGAUAAGCGUCGGUAAGGUGAUAUGAACCGUUAUAACCGGCGAUUUCCGAAUGGGGAAACCCAGUGUGUUUCGACACACUAUCAUUAACUGAAUCCAUAGGUUAAUGAGGCGAACCGGGGGAACUGAAACAUCUAAGUACCCCGAGGAAAAGAAAUCAACCGAGAUUCCCCAGUAGCGGCGAGCGAACGGGGAGGAGCCCAGAGCCUGAAUCAGUGUGUGUGUUAGUGGAAGCGUCUGGAAAGGCGCGCGAUACAGGGUGACAGCCCCGUACACAAAAAUGCACAUGCUGUGAGCUCGAUGAGUAGGGCGGGACACGUGGUAUCCUGUCUGAAUAUGGGGGGACCAUCCUCCAAGGCUAAAUACUCCUGACUGACCGAUAGUGAACCAGUACCGUGAGGGAAAGGCGAAAAGAACCCCGGCGAGGGGAGUGAAAAAGAACCUGAAACCGUGUACGUACAAGCAGUGGGAGCACGCUUAGGCGUGUGACUGCGUACCUUUUGUAUAAUGGGUCAGCGACUUAUAUUCUGUAGCAAGGUUAACCGAAUAGGGGAGCCGAAGGGAAACCGAGUCUUAACUGGGCGUUAAGUUGCAGGGUAUAGACCCGAAACCCGGUGAUCUAGCCAUGGGCAGGUUGAAGGUUGGGUAACACUAACUGGAGGACCGAACCGACUAAUGUUGAAAAAUUAGCGGAUGACUUGUGGCUGGGGGUGAAAGGCCAAUCAAACCGGGAGAUAGCUGGUUCUCCCCGAAAGCUAUUUAGGUAGCGCCUCGUGAAUUCAUCUCCGGGGGUAGAGCACUGUUUCGGCAAGGGGGUCAUCCCGACUUACCAACCCGAUGCAAACUGCGAAUACCGGAGAAUGUUAUCACGGGAGACACACGGCGGGUGCUAACGUCCGUCGUGAAGAGGGAAACAACCCAGACCGCCAGCUAAGGUCCCAAAGUCAUGGUUAAGUGGGAAACGAUGUGGGAAGGCCCAGACAGCCAGGAUGUUGGCUUAGAAGCAGCCAUCAUUUAAAGAAAGCGUAAUAGCUCACUGGUCGAGUCGGCCUGCGCGGAAGAUGUAACGGGGCUAAACCAUGCACCGAAGCUGCGGCAGCGACGCUUAUGCGUUGUUGGGUAGGGGAGCGUUCUGUAAGCCUGUGAAGGUGUGCUGUGAGGCAUGCUGGAGGUAUCAGAAGUGCGAAUGCUGACAUAAGUAACGAUAAAGCGGGUGAAAAGCCCGCUCGCCGGAAGACCAAGGGUUCCUGUCCAACGUUAAUCGGGGCAGGGUGAGUCGACCCCUAAGGCGAGGCCGAAAGGCGUAGUCGAUGGGAAACAGGUUAAUAUUCCUGUACUUGGUGUUACUGCGAAGGGGGGACGGAGAAGGCUAUGUUGGCCGGGCGACGGUUGUCCCGGUUUAAGCGUGUAGGCUGGUUUUCCAGGCAAAUCCGGAAAAUCAAGGCUGAGGCGUGAUGACGAGGCACUACGGUGCUGAAGCAACAAAUGCCCUGCUUCCAGGAAAAGCCUCUAAGCAUCAGGUAACAUCAAAUCGUACCCCAAACCGACACAGGUGGUCAGGUAGAGAAUACCAAGGCGCUUGAGAGAACUCGGGUGAAGGAACUAGGCAAAAUGGUGCCGUAACUUCGGGAGAAGGCACGCUGAUAUGUAGGUGAAGUCCCUCGCGGAUGGAGCUGAAAUCAGUCGAAGAUACCAGCUGGCUGCAACUGUUUAUUAAAAACACAGCACUGUGCAAACACGAAAGUGGACGUAUACGGUGUGACGCCUGCCCGGUGCCGGAAGGUUAAUUGAUGGGGUCAGCGCAAGCGAAGCUCUUGAUCGAAGCCCCGGUAAACGGCGGCCGUAACUAUAACGGUCCUAAGGUAGCGAAAUUCCUUGUCGGGUAAGUUCCGACCUGCACGAAUGGCGUAAUGAUGGCCAGGCUGUCUCCACCCGAGACUCAGUGAAAUUGAACUCGCUGUGAAGAUGCAGUGUACCCGCGGCAAGACGGAAAGACCCCGUGAACCUUUACUAUAGCUUGACACUGAACAUUGAGCCUUGAUGUGUAGGAUAGGUGGGAGGCUUAGAAGUGUGGACGCCAGUCUGCAUGGAGCCGGCCUUGAAAUACCACCCUUUAAUGUUUGAUGUUCUAACGUUGACCCGUAAUCCGGGUUGCGGACAGUGUCUGGUGGGUAGUUUGACUGGGGCGGUCUCCUCCUAAAGAGUAACGGAGGAGCACGAAGGUUGGCUAAUCCUGGUCGGACAUCAGGAGGUUAGUGCAAUGGCAUAAGCCAGCUUGACUGCGAGCGUGACGGCGCGAGCAGGUGCGAAAGCAGGUCAUAGUGAUCCGGUGGUUCUGAAUGGAAGGGCCAUCGCUCAACGGAUAAAAGGUACUCCGGGGAUAACAGGCUGAUACCGCCCAAGAGUUCAUAUCGACGGCGGUGUUUGGCACCUCGAUGUCGGCUCAUCACAUCCUGGGGCUGAAGUAGGUCCCAAGGGUAUGGCUGUUCGCCAUUUAAAGUGGUACGCGAGCUGGGUUUAGAACGUCGUGAGACAGUUCGGUCCCUAUCUGCCGUGGGCGCUGGAGAACUGAGGGGGGCUGCUCCUAGUACGAGAGGACCGGAGUGGACGCAUCACUGGUGUUCGGGUUGUCAUGCCAAUGGCACUGCCCGGUAGCUAAAUGCGGAAGAGAUAAGUGCUGAAAGCAUCUAAGCACGAAACUUGCCCCGAGAUGAGUUCUCCCUGACCCUUUAAGGGUCCUGAAGGAACGUUGAAGACGACGACGUUGAUAGGCCGGGUGUGUAAGCGCAGCGAUGCGUUGAGCUAACCGGUACUAAUGAACCGUGAGGCUUAACCUU
rnacentral:rRNA from 1 species